GAUGAACGCUGGCGGCGUGCCUAAUACAUGCAAGUCGAGCGAACAGACGAGGAGCUUGCUCCUCUGACGUUAGCGGCGGACGGGUGAGUAACACGUGGAUAACCUACCUAUAAGACUGGGAUAACUUCGGGAAACCGGAGCUAAUACCGGAUAAUAUAUUGAACCGCAUGGUUCAAUAGUGAAAGACGGUUUUGCUGUCACUUAUAGAUGGAUCCGCGCCGCAUUAGCUAGUUGGUAAGGUAACGGCUUACCAAGGCAACGAUGCGUAGCCGACCUGAGAGGGUGAUCGGCCACACUGGAACUGAGACACGGUCCAGACUCCUACGGGAGGCAGCAGUAGGGAAUCUUCCGCAAUGGGCGAAAGCUUGACGGAGCAACGCCGCGUGAGUGAUGAAGGUCUUCGGAUCGUAAAACUCUGUUAUUAGGGAAGAACAAAAGUGUAAGUAACUAUGCACGUCUUGACGGUACCUAAUCAGAAAGCCACGGCUAACUACGUG
rnacentral:rRNA from 1 species